ACCCCAGGCCUUCUUGAAUUGUAGAAACGAAAAGCUAAAUUGAUUUCCAUGCUUGAAGAGGUAUUCUAUUUGAUUCCUUUUCAUCUUAUUUUUACUCCCAAUUUCUCUCAUACUAAUAGAAAUC